CUUUCCUUUUUUGUUUUAGGAGGGGGGAUAGGGACACAUGGGCAGGGGCUAGCUUUUGCAAAACUUUUCAUUAUCUCUGCAAUUUGAGAAAACAAGCAAUCUCUUGUACAGCAUUUUUACUGAUUCCAGUAAAAACUGGAAGCUACAAGUUAAAAUCCUGCUGAAUUGUUGCUUUUGUUUGUAGGAAAAGACCUGUGACGUUACAAAUAGCUAGUCUGCGGCUAGCAGAUGUAUACAGUCUUUACUUAAAGCAUGUUGAUUUAAUUUUAACUAGGAAACUAAGCUCAGGCAUGGGCUAUGUUUAUCCUACAAGGCAUUUCAUUUAUCUUGUUUAUCUCAACAAUACUGAGGAAGUUAAAUUUUUUGAUAGAAAAGGAAAAUUGUUACAAUGAAGUUCAGAAAGCAAAACAAAACUAAAUGAACUCAGUUGUAUAAAUGCAUCCAUUGUGCUUUCUCUCUGAUCUGAGUGGUCAUCUCCCUUUUAGAUUUGGAUCAUUCCAGAACUCUGAACACUUGAGCACCCACCAUGGAUGACUUUGAACGCCGUAGAGAACUCAGGAGGCAAAAGCGUGAGGAAAUGCGCCUUGAAGCAGAGAGCAUGUUAUGUAGCAGACACGCCUGUGUGAACUGCCUGUGAUGUAGAGGAGCUCAUGUUCAAUCUCCAAAUGAUCAGAAAAGAACAUGUGAUCACCUCCAGUUCCUUGAGUCGGCAUUUUGAUUUUGUCAGCAUCUGGUUCAUUACUAAAAGGUUCAGAAUAUUUCCACUGAUUGCUUUCCUGUGAGUAUGAUUAAAGUAUUUACUUCAGACUUCCUUGCCAGAGGAAAUUCAAUAGUGUUUCAGCACUUCUUUUUUAUAUUAUUUUGAAACUUUUCUCUCUCUAUUUUUUUCCCUUGUGUACUUACCUGCUUUUUCAGGGGCUAAUCCAAAGCUAGUAGGCAAGUCUGCAGUCAGGUCUUGAACAUUUAUUCAUUUGGGGCCGCUGUUACCACAAUCUAUUUUCAGAGUAGAUGCUAUAGGAUUUUAUUUUGAAUUUUAUCUUCAAGUCGGAAUGUUUGAAUUUUACAAUAAUCACAUUGUAGGCAUUUGGCUGUUCUUCUAGGAGCUUUUUUUAUUUCUUCAUUGGAUUUCAGCGGGUUUUCUGCUUGCUAUAAGAUUCUUACAUUGUAUUCAAAUCAAAUUCACUUGUCUUUCUGGAGCAAGUAUGGGCUUUGAGGGGUCCUGAGAUUCCAGGUAACCAUGUUUUCUGACUAUUCCCAAUAUGUGUAUCUUAGCUCUAUUUUUUUCUUCUUUAUGUGUUUAUGAUGUGCAUAAUCUUCAUCCCCUUGAAUAUAUGGAAAUUCUAGAGUGAAGACAUACAGAUGACUGGCUCUAAGUUUAAGCAGUGUCUGUGACAGCAACCUGGUGGGAUAUUUCACCAGGUCAAGGCAUCUCCCUUAGGUACCACCAUCUUUGUUAAUUCAGUGUAUAGCAAGCUUUUAAUUCUCUGUGCUGGGUGCCCAUACUCUCCAUUUGCCUGUUUCACUCUACCUCUGCUCUGUUCCUCCCUUUUUUUUU
rnacentral:lncRNA from 1 species